rnacentral:piRNA from 1 species
UAAGAAUAAACUUUUACUGUGGA